CAGCUCGUGUCGUGAGAUGUUGGGUUAAGUCCCGCAACGACGCAACCCUUAAGCUUAGUUGCCAUCAUUAAGUUGGGCACUCUAAGUUGACUGCCGGUGACAAACCGGGGAAGGUGGGGAUGACGUCAAAUCAUCAUGCCCCUUAUGAUUUGGGCUACACACGUGCUACAAUGGACAUACAAAGGGUAGCGAAACCGCGAGGUCAAGCAAAUCCCAUAAAGUUGUUCUCAGUUCGGAUUGUAGUCUGCAACUCGACUACAUGAAGCUGGAAUCGCUAGUAAUCGUAGAUCAGCAUGCUACGGUGAAUACGUUCCCGGUCUUGUACACACCGCCCGUCACACCACGAGAGUUUGUAACACCCGAAGCCGGUGGAGUAACCUUUUGAGCUAGCCGUCGAAGGUGGGACAAAUGAUUGGGGUGAAGUCGUAACAAGGUAGCCGUAUCGGAAGGUGCGGCUGGAUCACCUCCU
rnacentral:rRNA from 1 species